rnacentral:rRNA from 1 species
UUGUAAUUGGAAUGAUGGUGACCUAAACCCUCACCAGAGUAACAAUUGGAGGGCAAGUCUGGUGCCAGCAGCCGCGGUAAUUCCAGCUCCAAUAGCGUAUAUUAAACUUGUUGCAGUUAAAAAGCUCGUAGUUGAAUUUUUGCGUGGUGUUAAUAUUGACUGAUGUCGAGAUUGCACUUCGCUUUUGGGAUUUUUCCCUUUUUACUUUGAGAAAAUUAGAGUGUUUCAAGCAGACUUUUGUCUUGAAUACUUCAGCAUGGAAUAAUAGAGUAGGACUUUGGUUCUAUUUUGUUGGUUUGUGAACCUUAGUAAUGGUUAAUAAGAACGGUUGGGGGCAUUCGUAUUUAACUGUCAGAGGUGAAAUUCUUAGAUUUGUUAAAGACGAACUACUGCGAAAGCAUUUGCCAAGGACGUUUUCAUUAAUCAAGAACGAAAGUUAGGGGAUCGAAGACGAUCAGAUACCGUCGUAGUCCUAACCAUAAACUAUGCCGACUAGGGAUUGGAGGUCGUCAUUUUUCCGACUCCUU